GGGGCUGAGGCAGAGGCAGCAGCGGCUGUUGCAGGUCAGGAGGGGGGAGGGGGGAAGAAGGCACAUGUGCUUUGCAGCCUUCCCCUCCCCUCCCCCCGGCACUCACCUGGAGGAGACACCGAGGGGGCUUCGGGUCCGGUGGGAGACAGGAAUCUCGGCAGUGGACCUCACUCACCUUAGCAGCUGCUGGGGCUUCGGUGAAUCCUCCCUUGUAUUUCAGACUGGGAUUAAAGGCAGCUCCAGACUUUCCCUUUCUCCCUUCUGGGAAAUCAAGUUCAAGUUUUUACAGGGAGCUAAAGAAGCCUCAAUGCUGCAUCUGAAUUAAUGUCACAUUUCCCACUUCUUGACAGAAAAAAAAUGUCAUUUCGAUCCCAGAACAACAAGAACCACAUCCGUUGCAGUUCAGGAGUCUGAUGAGAAAAGGCAACUUGGUGCAAGUCACCAGCACCUUGGCUCCUUCACAUUCAACCAGCAGCUGGGCCCCCAGGACAAGGAAUGAGAAGAAGACAAUGGCUGUGAGCAGGAAAAUAACCACCAAGAAGCUGGCUAAAGCUGUCAAGAUCCCCAGGAAGGUCACCAAGUCCAUGUCUAGAAUGUGGUUGUGGAGAUUAAUGGAAGGAGGAGGCACAUGUCAGAGCCCUCGGGGGUCUCAUGUCAGGGCCCUAAUGGGGCUCUAGGUGAUCGCUACUUCCCACCACCGCACACAGAUGUAAUGAGGUUGAGUAGUGUCCGCAAAAGAGAAACUAAACAACUAAUUAUUCCUCAAGAAAGGUUUUUAAUGAUUUACGAGUAUAAAGGCAACACAGACAGAAUAAGAAAAACAGAAUUAAAGACCAGCAUUGAGUGAGGAUUAAUACAAAUGGCAAGUUAUACUGGAGACAAGUACAAGUAAUAUGCAUUAACUACCUAUUCCUUUAAGUGCACAUAUAAAAAUUAAAUAAUAUUGAAAA